GAAGAGUUUGAUCAUGGCUCAGAUUGAACGCUGGCGGCAGGCCUAACACAUGCAAGUCGAACGGUAACAGGAAGCAGCUUGCUGCUUUGCUGACGAGUGGCGGACGGGUGAGUAAUGUCUGGGAAACUGCCUGAUGGAGGGGGAUAACUACUGGAAACGGUGGCUAAUACCGCAUAACGUCGCAAGACCAAAGAGGGGGACCUUCGGGCCUCUUGCCAUCAGAUGUGCCCAGAUGGGAUUAGCUUGUUGGUGAGGUAACGGCUCACCAAGGCGACGAUCCCUAGCUGGUCUGAGAGGAUGACCAGCCACACUGGAACUGAGACACGGUCCAGACUCCUACGGGAGGCAGCAGUGGGGAAUAUUGCACAAUGGGCGCAAGCCUGAUGCAGCCAUGCCGCGUGUAUGAAGAAGGCCUUCGGGUUGUAAAGUACUUUCAGCGGGGAGGAAGGUGUUGUGGUUAAUAACCGCAGCAAUUGACGUUACCCGCAGAAGAAGCACCGGCUAACUCCGUGCCAGCAGCCGCGGUAAUACGGAGGGUGCAAGCGUUAAUCGGAAUUACUGGGCGUAAAGCGCACGCAGGCGGUCUGUCAAGUCGGAUGUGAAAUCCCCGGGCUCAACCUGGGAACUGCAUUCGAAACUGGCAGGCUUGAGUCUUGUAGAGGGGGGUAGAAUUCCAGGUGUAGCGGUGAAAUGCGUAGAGAUCUGGAGGAAUACCGGUGGCGAAGGCGGCCCCCUGGACAAAGACUGACGCUCAGGUGCGAAAGCGUGGGGAGCAAACAGGAUUAGAUACCCUGGUAGUCCACGCCGUAAACGAUGUCUACUUGGAGGUUGUGCCCUUGAGGCGUGGCUUCCGGAGCUAACGCGUUAAGUAGACCGCCUGGGGAGUACGGCCGCAAGGUUAAAACUCAAAUGAAUUGACGGGGGCCCGCACAAGCGGUGGAGCAUGUGGUUUAAUUCGAUGCAACGCGAAGAACCUUACCUGGUCUUGACAUCCACGGAAGAAUUCAGAGAUGGAUUUGUGCCUUCGGGAACCGUGAGACAGGUGCUGCAUGGCUGUCGUCAGCUCGUGUUGUGAAAUGUUGGGUUAAGUCCCGCAACGAGCG
rnacentral:rRNA from 1 species